UGCGGGGCAGGGAAGGGCGUGGGAAGGGCAGUGCCUGGUCUGCCCCCUCCAGGAAGCCCUCCCUGCUGCACCC
rnacentral:pre_miRNA from 1 species